AAGGAUCAUUACCGAGUUCAUGCCCUCACGGGUAGAUCUCCCACCCUUUGUAUACCAUACCUUUGUUGCUUUGGCGGGCCGCCUAGCUACUGGCUUCGGCUGGUAAGUGCCCGCCAGAGGACCCAAAACCCUGAAUAUUAGUGUCGUCUGAGUAAAAUUUUAAUAUUUAAAACUUUCAACAACGGAUCUCUUGGCUCUG
rnacentral:misc_RNA from 1 species